UGGCGAACGGGUGAGUAACACGUGACUAACCUACCCUCGAGUGGGGGGAUAACCUCGGGAAACCGGGGCUAAAACCGCAUAAUACCGUCAGGGGAAGCUCCUGACGAUCAAAUGCGCAAGCAACUUGAGGAGGGGGUCGCGGCUGAUUAGCUAGUUGGCGGGGUAACGGCCCACCAAGGCAAUGAUCAGUAGCCGGCCUGAGAGGGCGCACGGCCACACUGGAACUGAAACACGGUCCAG
rnacentral:rRNA from 1 species